AUUGAACGCUGGCGGCAGGCCUAACACAUGCAAGUCGAACGAGUGGCGGACGGGUGAGUAAUGUCUGGGAAACUGCCCGAUGGCGGGGGAUAACUACUGGAAACGGUAGCUAAUACCGCAUACCAUCGGAUGUGCCCAGAUGGGAUUAGCUAGUGGGUGGGGUAACGGCUCACCUAGGCGACGAUCCCUAGCUGGUCUGAGAGGAUGAACCGCCACACGGGAACUGUGACACGGUCCAGACUCCUACGGGAGGCAGCAGUGGGUAAUAUUGCGCAAUGGGCGCAAGCCUGAUGCAGCCAUGCCGCGUGUAUGAAGAAGGCCUUCGGGUUGUAAAGUCCUUUCAGCGAGGAGGCGUUACUCGCAGAAGAAGCACCGGCUAACUCCGUGCCAGCAGCCGCGGUAAUAC
rnacentral:rRNA from 1 species